UUGCCCACCAGGCUCGUAGUCGGCCAACCGUAUUGUUUUAGGAUUGGGCACAGCCAGGCGGUAUUCUUCGCCCGGGCUGCCGUAAUCCGCUUGAUUACGGCAUCAGGUUUACGAUUCUCUCGGAUGUCCUCACUCAGUUGUUGCUGAUCUUUCUCCUUGAGCUUCAACAAAGUUUCUUUCAGUUUUUGGUUCUGAGGCUGAUUUGCGCUCAGUCGCGUCACCAUAUUUUUGACUUCGUCCACAUUCAAACACCGCUCCUGACCCAGGUUCGACUGAGAGCAGACUACGAUCAAAAUGCCGGUCAGAAGAACUCUCAAGAUG
rnacentral:misc_RNA from 1 species